rnacentral:rRNA from 1 species
AUUGAACGCUGGCGGCAGGCCUAACACAUGCAAGUCGAACGGUAACAGGAAACAGCUUGCUGUUUCGCUGACGAGUGGCGGACGGGUGAGUAAUGUCUGGGAAACUGCUGAUGGGGGGGGGUAACUACUGGAAACGGGAGCUAAUACCGCAUAACGUCGCCAGACCAAAGAGGGGGGCCUUCGGGCCCCUUGCCAUCGGAUGUGGCCAGAUGGGAUUAGCUAGUAGGUGGGGUAACGGCUCACCUAGGCGACGAUCCCUAGCUGGUCUGAGAGGAUGACCAGCCACACUGGAACUGAGACACGGUCCAGACUCCUACGGGAGGCAGCAGUGGGGAAUAUUGCACAAUGGGCGCAAGCCUGAUGCAGCCAUGCCGCGUGUAUGAAGAAGGCCUUCGGGUUGUAAAGUACUUUCAGCGGGGAGGAAGGGAGUAAAGUUAAUACCUUUACUCAUUGACGUUACCCGCAGAAGAAGCACCGGCUAACUCCGUG